UACGUAGGGGGCAAGCGUUGUCCGGAUUUACUGGGUGUAAAGGGCGCGUAGGCGGAUUUGUAAGUUAGUGGUGAAAUCCUGUAGCUUAACUACAGAACUGCCACUGAUACUGCAUAUCUUGAGUUCGGAAGAGAGGAGCGGAAUUCCAGGUGUAGCAGUGAAAUACGUAGAUAUCUGGAAGAACACCAGUGGCGAAGGCGGCUUCUUGGUCCGUAACUGACGCUGAUGCGCGAAAGCGUGGGGAG
rnacentral:rRNA from 1 species